rnacentral:lncRNA from 1 species
CAUAUUUUGGGAGGAUUUGGAGGAUAGGAAGAUUCCACCGACCUACGAACCAUGAACGUUGAGUAUACUUCUGUUACAUUAGCCCAUGUGGAGCUGAUACUUUUAAUUUUAUUUAAAAAGUUGCAAAUAUUAAAAAUACCUUUUUUAAUAGAUUUCAUUUUAAAAAUUGUUUCAAUUACGUAUGAAAUAUCAUUCAAAUAAGAGAACAUAUGUUCUUCUUACAGCAGCCAGCUCAGGAUCCAAAAUCACAUUCCCAGCAGCGGUCUCUCUCAUUUCUGGAGGAUGAGAAGAAUAAGAGCUUUUCAAGAUAGGGCUACACCAUCUUUGGCCUAACUUUCAGCAGCUCCAGAUUGAGGGACUAAGCUGCCGACUCCAUGUUUUCACACAUGGGACGGGAAGGAGGGCCGGAGUCAGAGCACAAAAGUAACUAAUCAGUAUCUUCAUUCUCUUUUUACAAACCGAGAUGAAAGUCUUGCAUACCUUUACACUUACCAGUCAAUUACAAUCAGCAGUUUAUCUAGAGUAGAUGUCAGGAACCAACCCACAUUUUCGUAACUUUCCCACCUUUCAUUCACUUUUGUUCCUGCAGUUUCUAUAUUUUGUCACUAGUGGCCUCCCUAACCACUAGAUCUGAACUCCCUUGGUUCUACAUCAUCUGCCUAGGUUAAUUACUGCACCUACAAAAGGCUACUCCCUGCUCUAUACAGUGCCUUUAGAUUGAAAUUUAUGGUCAAACGGAAAAGACUUCUGUUCCUUGCUCCUGUGAUCUUACCUGAGUGAUUACCAACCUUAUCUACAUUACCAAGCUUCUUUAUUGGAUCCUGAUUUCCACAGCCAACCUCCUUUGAAACCAAGCUUCUUCAAAUCAACUUGAACUACUCUACAACCCAACCCUUGGAACUAAUCUGCUUUAUUACUUGCUUCAAACCAACCUUUUGUGAUUCCAACCAGCUUUAUUACCACCCAGCUUCACACCGACUUGAAAUACCCGACCAAUCUGCUUGAUAAUACCAACCUGUAUCAUGCCACCCUGGACUACGCAAAAUAACCAAUAUUGCAAAGAGUUAUUUGCCUACUUAUCAGUGCUCCAUCCAAACAGGGGGCUGAUUUACUUAACUACUAUUUUGUUUGCUAUUCUGAUACCUUAUUGUUUAGUUCUGUUUUACGUGUCUCGCUCUCCUAUGCUUUAAUCUAUAGGAUUUCUCACUAUUUCUUAUAUCCUGUACAUAACCUGCCUGGGGCAUGUUGCCUAAACUUCCUUUUCUAUUGUCACUCCCUAUUCCCACCUAUAAUCUCUCUCAACCUCCCCUAUAAUUUCAUUUAUAGGUUCUCUCACAUCCUUGCCUAUUUCGUUUUUAGGUUUCUCUGCUUACAAUUGUCUUAUUUCUAACCUGUUUGUAAAUAACCACUCUGGGGCAUAUUGCCUAAACUCUCUUUUCUGUUCUCCCUGCUUUACUUGCCUCCCUCUUUGGCUUGCUAAAUAUUCCAAAUGUCUGUAAAUAUAUCGAAAGUCUCAAACUAUCAAAAGUUAAUCAUGUCAUAAGUCUCUUACCUGAUCUGCUCCAGACCCUGACAGUGGACAUGUAAAACUUUUUAAAAAUAUUUAAUGUGAGUUGAACACUUAC